rnacentral:rRNA from 1 species
UACGUAGGGUGCGAGCGUUAAUCGGAAUUACUGGGCGUAAAGUGUGCGCAGGCGGCCGCGCAAGUCGAGUGUGAAAGCCCCGAGCUUAACUUGGGAACUGCGCUCGAAACUACGUGGCUGGAGUGUGGCAGAGGAAGGUGGAAUUCCAGGUGUAGCGGUGAAAUGCGUAGAGAUCUGGAGGAACACCGAUGGCGAAGGCAGCCUUCUGGGCCAACACUGACGCUCAUGCACGAAAGCAUGGGGAUCAAACAGG